CCUACGGGGGGCAGCAGUGGGGAAUAUUGCACAAUGGGCGCAAGCCUGAUGCAGCCAUGCCGCGUGUGUGAAGAAGGCCUUCGGGUUGUAAAGCACUUUCAGGGGGGAGGAAGGCGUUAAGGUUAAUAACCUUGUCGAUUGACGUUACCCGCAGAAGAAGCACCGGCUAACUCCGUGCCAGCAGCCGCGGUAAUACGGAGGGUGCAAGCGUUAAUCGGAAUUACUGGGCGUAAGGCGCACGCAGGCGGUCUGUCAAGUCGGAUGUGAAAUCCCCGGGCUCAACCUGGGAACUGCAUUCGAAACUGGCAGGCUAGAGUCUUGUAGAGGGGGGUAGAAUUCCAGGUGUAGCGGUGAAAUGCGUAGAGAUCUGGAGGAAUACCGGUGGCGAAGGCGGCCCCCUGGACAAAGACUGACGCUCAGGUGCGAAAGCGUGGGGAGCAAACAGGAUUAGAUACCCUAGUAGUC
rnacentral:rRNA from 1 species